CCCGGAACUCCUUUUCUCACAAAAGAAUAUCUGACGGUCCCUGAGGAAUUAGCUCCGGCUAACUUUGUGCCAGCAGCCGCGGUAAUACAAGGGGAGCAAGCGUUAUCCGGAAUGAUUGGGCGUAAAGCGUCUGUAGGUGGUUCUUUAAGUCUACUGUCAAAUACGUUGGCUCAACCAACGGCAGGCAGUAGAGUACUAAAGAACUAGAGUGCGGUAGAGGUAGAGGGAAUCCCUAGCGUAACAGUGAAAUGUGUANAUUUUAGGGGGAACAC
rnacentral:rRNA from 1 species